rnacentral:rRNA from 1 species
CACACCGCCCGUCACGCCAUGGGAGUUGGUUUCACCCGAAGGUGGUGCGCUAACCCGCAAGGGAGGCAGCCAACCACGGUGGGAUCAGCGACUGGGGUG